UACGAGAGGUGCAAGCGUUGUCCGGAUUUAUUGGGCGUAAAGCGUUUCUAAAGGCGCUUUUGUAAGUUAGCUUUCAAAGACCGAGGCUCAACCUCGGGAAGGGAGUUAAUACUGCAAGAGUUGAGAUAUUUCGGGGUUACUAGAACUAUUGGUGUAGGGGUGAAAUCCGUUGAUAUCAAUAGGAAUUCCAAGGGCGAAGGCAGGUAACUAGGAAUGUUCUGACGCUGAUGAACGAAAGCUAGGGGAGCGAAAGGG
rnacentral:rRNA from 1 species